GCGGGGCCGGGGGGGUCCCUGGGCCCAUGGGCGUGGGGGGCUGUUGUGGAGGGGGGUAUUCGGGGUGGGGAGAGGGGUGUGUCUGGGUUUUUCAGGGGUCCUUGGAUGCACUGGGGAGAUGGACGGGGGGUCCCUGGAUGCACCGGGGAGGUCUGUAUCCGGGAGUAAUGUUUGAAUCUGUUGUUCUUGGCCCUUGGAGCUCCCUUGAUAUUAAAGACCGAGGAAGCUUGAAAAGUUGCUGAGUGCCAGAAGUCAGGAGACGUACAGACCGUUGUUAUUACGGGCGGAGGGUGGGGGGUCUCUGGGCGCAGGGGGACGGAGGGGCAAGGCCGGUGCCUGGGCCGUGGGGGGCUGCUUGGCCUCGGGCCCCACGUGGGGGCUUCGCGCAGGGGCCUGCCGGAGGCGCAGUGCUGAAGCCCUAACCCCGUUCCCUCUCCGUUUUCCUUCCUCUAGUGGCGAAAGAAGCGUAUGCGCAGGUACGUGGGGACGCGGCCUCCCUCGCCGGGGCUGAGCCCCCGUUCACUCUUCCGCUUUGAACCCAUCUUACCUCCUGGGAGCGCUGGUCGAGGACCCCCCUCGCUGCCAGCAGUAUUGGGGGGAGCUGCCUCCUGGGUGUGAAUCUCUUGACACACGAAAGGCUUAAAAUGUCCUGACUCCUGCAGAAGUUUCGGCCCGGGGGGCGCAGCCCAGCCGGAGCGGUGUCUCUGGGCGACCACCCUGCAGCUGUGCUCUYCCCUUGCUCCGAGCGCGGCCUCGGCAGCGCGAGGGCAGCGAGCCCCGGGGCUGUCGCGGUGUGUGAGCAACGCUUUCUUUCUCAGGCUGAAGCGCAAGAGAAGGAAGAUGAGGCAGAGGAGCGCUGGGACGCGGGGCAGCGCCUGGCCCUGCCGGUGCCGCCAGCGCAGGAGACCGGCGUGGCUGGGCUGCCCGAGCCCGGGUGUUUUGGACUGGUUCCUGUCUUUGUAGCUGUCCGUAGCCUCUGUACCAUAAAUAAAGCCUGGUUUGGUGGCAGCUUGUGUGGUUUCUUCCCGGGGGGGAGGGGUGUGUGUCAAAAUUGGGAUAAACCUGGUGUGACCAAGCGCAGUGAUCUGGAAA
rnacentral:lncRNA from 1 species